GACGAACGCUGGCGGCAUGCCUAAUACAUGCAAGUCGAGCGGAGUUGAUGGAAAGCUUGCUUUCCUGAUACUUAGCGGCGGACGGGUGAGUAACACGUAGGCAACCUGCCCUCAAGCUUGGGACAACUACCGGAAACGGUAGCUAAUACCGAAUACUUGUUUUCUUCGCCUGAAGGAAACUGGAAAGACGGAGCAAUCUGUCACUUGGGGAUGGGCCUGCGGCGCAUUAGCUAGUUGGUGAGGCAACGGCUCACCAAGGCGACGAUGCGUAGCCGACCUGGGAGGGUGAUCGGCCACACUGGGACUGAGACACGGCCCAGACUCCUACGGGAGGCAGCAGUAGGGAAUCUUCCGCAAUGGGCGAAAGCCUGACGGAGCAAUGCCGCGUGAGUGAUGAAGGUUUUCGGAUCGUAAAGCUCUGUUGCCAGGGAAGAACGCUUGGGAGAGUAACUGCUCCCAAGGUGACGGUACCUGAGAAGAAAGCCCCGGCUAACUACGUGCCAGCCGCCGCCGUAA
rnacentral:rRNA from 1 species